rnacentral:rRNA from 2 species
UGACGAGACUUAUCAGAGAUGCAUUGGUGCCUUCGGGAACUCUGAGACAGGUGCUGCAUGGCUGUCGUCAGCUCGUGUUGUGAAAUGUUGGGUUAAGUCCCGCAACGAGCGCAACCCUUAUCCUUGUUUGCCAGCACUUCGGGUGGGAACUCCCGGGAAACUGCCGGUGAUUAACCGGAAGAAGGGGGGGACGAAGUCCAGUCCUCCUGGGCCUUACGAAUAGGGCUACCCACGUGCUACAAUGGCGCAUACCGAGGGCGGCCAACUUGCGAGAGUGAACGAAUCCCAAAAAGUGCGUCCUAAUCCGGAUUGGAAUCUGCAACUCCACUCCCUGAAGUCCGAAUCCCUAGUAAUCCUAAAUCAAAAUGCUACCGUGAAUACCUUCCCGGGUCUGCCCACACCGAAGC